AGAUUAAGUUAUUAAGGGCGCACGGUGGAUGCCUUGGCACUAGAAGCCGAUGAAGGACGUUACUAACGACGAUAUGCUUUGGGUAGCUGUAAGUAAGCGUUGAUCCAGAGAUUUCCGAAUGGGGGAACCCAGCAUGAGUUAUGUCAUGUUAUCGACAUGUGAAUUCAUAGCAUGUCAGAAGGCAGACCCGGAGAACUGAAACAUCUUAGUACCCGGAGGAAGAGAAAGAAAAAUCGAUUCCCUGAGUAGCGGCGAGCGAAACGGGAAGAGCCCAAACCAACAAGCUUGCUUGUUGGGGUUGUAGGACACUCUAUACGGAGUUACAAAAGAACAUGUUAGACGAAUCAUCUGGAAAGAUGAAUCAAAGAAGGUAAUAAUCCUGUAGUCGAAAACAUAUUCUCUCUUGAGUGGAUCCUGAGUACGACGGAGCACGUGAAAUUCCGUCGGAAUCUGGGAGGACCAUCUCCUAAGGCUAAAUACUCUCUAGUGACCGAUAGUGAACCAGUACCGUGAGGGAAAGGUGAAAAGUACCCCGGAAGGGGAGUGAAAGAGAACUUGAAACCGUGUGCUUACAAGUAGUCAGAGCCCGUUAAUGGGUGAUGGCGUGCCUUUUGUAGAAUGAACCGGCGAGUUACGAUCUGAUGCAAGGUUAAGCAGCAAAUGUGGAGCCGCAGCGAAAGCGAGUCUGAAUAGGGCGUUGAGUAUUUGGUCGUAGACCCGAAACCAGGUGAUCUACCCUUGGUCAGGUUGAAGUUCAGGUAACACUGAAUGGAGGACCGAACCGACUUACGUUGAAAAGUGAGCGGAUGAACUGAGGGUAGCGGAGAAAUUCCAAUCGAACUUGGAGAUAGCUGGUUCUCUCCGAAAUAGCUUUAGGGCUAGCCUCAAGUGAUGAUUAUUGGAGGUAGAGCACUGUUUGGACGAGGGGCCCCUCUCGGGUUACCGAAUUCAGACAAACUCCGAAUGCCAAUUAAUUUAACUUGGGAGUCAGAACAUGGGUGAUAAGGUCCGUGUUCGAAAGGGAAACAGCCCAGACCACCAGCUAAGGUCCCAAAAUAUAUGUUAAGUGGAAAAGGAUGUGGCGUUGCCCAGACAACUAGGAUGUUGGCUUAGAAGCAGCCAUCAUUUAAAGAGUGCGUAAUAGCUCACUAGUCGAGUGACACUGCGCCGAAAAUGUACCGGGGCUAAACAUAUUACCGAAGCUGUGGAUUGUCCUUUGGACAAUGGUAGGAGAGCGUUCUAAGGGCGUCGAAGCAUGAUCGCAAGGACAUGUGGAGCGCUUAGAAGUGAGAAUGCCGGUGUGAGUAGCGAAAGACGGGUGAGAAUCCCGUCCACCGAUUGACUAAGGUUUCCAGAGGAAGGCUCGUCCGCUCUGGGUUAGUCGGGUCCUAAGCUGAGGCCGACAGGCGUAGGCGAUGGAUAACAGGUUGAUAUUCCUGUACCACCUAAA
rnacentral:rRNA from 1 species